rnacentral:lncRNA from 1 species
UUGCUAGGUCACAGGUUGUGUGCUGUGCCAGUAUAUGAGCUCCACCUAAAGGAAACGGGGGUAUUAUUGCUGUGUUACAGCUGUGUCCAUUGGGUCAGCCAUGAGAGGAGAGAAUAUAGUGUGGUCUACUGUUCCGUCUGCUGUGCCAGCCACUAGAGAAUAAAUGUGCCUGCAGUUCCUGCGGCUCCUCAAGUCUCCUUCCAGCCUCUAAGGUCACGCCUUGCCUACUCUGGGUUCAGCGGACAGUGUGGAAAAUGUGAACAGUGAGACAGCUGAUGUCACGAACAGAAUGAAGAGCAGUACAAUUGGCGUCGUCUGCAGGAUGCCCAGCAGGGGAACAAUCAAAUUGAGGAAAUCAAAAGCCUCAUGUAAAGUGGAA